UACGAAGGGGGCUAGCGUUGUUCGGAAUUACUGGGCGUAAAGCGCACGUAGGCGGAUAUUUAAGUCAGGGGUGAAAUCCCGGGGCUCAACCCCGGAACUGCCUUUGAUACUGGGUAUCUCGAGUCCGAGAGAGGUGAGUGGAAUUCCGAGUGUAGAGGUGAAAUUCGUAGAUAUUCGGAGGAACACCAGUGGCGAAGGCGGCUCACUGGACACGUAUUGACGCUGAGGUGCGAAAGCGUGGGGAGCAAACAGG
rnacentral:rRNA from 1 species